UGCAGCUCUGCCACGGAAACGUGCUUCUCCAGGAGUUGUGCUCCUCUUCUUGUGCAAUGGGAAGAAGCCUCCCGCAGAAGCUGUUCCUACUGGGCAAUGAAUUCCAGUUUGGUUUCUUCUCCAUCGGGAAAUAAGGGAAGGUGGCUCCAGACAGGCAGGGAGAGCCAGCUAAACUGACCCCUUAAGAUGGACCCAUCUCCUUGGGGAGUGUGUUGCAGACAGACGCAAAGAAGUCUUGCGACAGGUCAAAGCAGCAGCCUGCCAGGAAAACAGCUAUGACUUGGGAAUAGAGAAACUAUGCCCACAGAUGGGCUAAGAAUUGGCACGGCCACUUUAUAGAUGGGAAGAGAAUUCUGCUCCAGAAACAUUAAUGAUCUGAAUCAUUAAUUAGAUGCACGAAGAACACAGAAAAUUGGAAGGAAUUUGGAGCAAAUAAAGAAGCUGACACAACUGGAAAUUUUUGGGAAAAAAAGGUUCGUUGAACCCCAGCGGUGCCUCGGGACUUUGCACUGCGACAGGACCCGGUGACAAGCUUGCAGCUCCUUCCCUUCUUCGCUGCGUUGGUUUCUGUAGCUGUGCUGGGCACCGAGGGCUCCUGGGCACACAGUGGCGUGAACUGGAGGUUAGCCGAAAUCAGCCUUCGGCGGGACCGCUCGUAGGAUGGUGAGCCGGCACAGCUCAAUUGUCUCUUGGAUGUGUGUCUUUGGCACUGUGCUGUCUGCAAGGGAGGAAAGCCGGUGAGUCAGGCCAUCUCUCCCCCUGAACCGGGAACGCUCAAAGGCUUCUUCAUGGAGACCACUUAAAUCUGUGGUCUGCUGGAGUACCUGCAGAGCCGUGGGUGAGGUCCAGCUGGGGAAGUCCUCCCACCUCAGGCAUCCAUCCCCUCUGGCUCUCAGGUGCCCACACGGAUGCUCCGUGCUGUGACCAUCCACUGGGGUGCAGGAUGUGCCUGUGAAGCGUGACUUGAAUGUUUGCUGCUCUGAAAAUGGAGAAUAAGCCAACAGUGUAAGGCAGGAGAAACAGGGAAGAUAGUGACAUUUGAGCAGUCCCAAGGCUGUCCUGGUACAGAAGAGGAGUGCCUUGAAAUAACUUCUGCCAGCGUUGCAGAGCCUGGAGGCAUCUUGGAUCCUGUUUUGCAUGGCAAGGGACACCAAAAAACUGGAUGCCAUGGAGGCUGCUGGAGGAAGAGCAUCUGGAGGGGAGGUGAUGCGUGGCCGGAGCUGCAGGACGGGUACUGGGGACCUGGGCUUUGCUGCACCCCUGCUGCGAGAAGGCUUUGAAGCCUCCUCCCUGCUCACUGCACAGGUAUAGCUCCUGCUAGCAUAUCCCAGGAGCAGCAAAAUGGCUCGUGCUUGGGUGGAAGUUGCUGGUUUGAAGAUUUAAGUGAAAGAGGACUGCAUUUUUCCUUGCUUUCCCAACCAGGAGAUUCAUGAGGUGGCAGGCAUUAACUGGGGGAACUGCUGUGGUUUUUUCCUUUCUCCCCUGCAACAUUGAUCCCCAGCACUGUGAGGAUUAGCAAGUGGCCAAAUGCAUCGGGAUGUGACCUUGCUCUGCCGUAAGAUCCCUCCUCACAGGCCUGGGCUGCCUUGGGUAGCAGGCGGCAUCCCCACGGACCAGACAGUUUUAUAACGUCAAGAAGAAUGGAAAAGCUGCAAGGCAUGCACGUUCAAGAUGCUGUGCUCCUGGAAAGCUUUGGAUGGGCUCCAGGCAGUGUUUGGUGGCAAAGAAAGAUGAAGGUCUUGGAAAGAAAAAAAAAAAUCAGCCAAGCGCUCAUCCUGCAAUAUUCCUGUUCCUGUGAGCUGGGAAUGUCGUUGGAGCAUGGGAAAAAAUGUGUUCCUGCAACGUCACGUGUCUGGGGGUGGUUACAAGGACAAUGUUCUGGUUUUACACUACCACUGCUCUCCUGUUCAGCCCCGUGUGAGGUGGCCACCAGGCUCUCACAGGUGCCUCCUGAUCAGAGCAGGACUUGGAUGGAGAUAUUGACCAUGCUUCACACUCCUUGUGUCCUGAAGGCCACAUUUGUCCCCCUCCCCCAUUCCUGGAGAGGGUACCAGAGUGGUGGAUACGGCGCCUACAUUUGAAGACGUGGUUCAGGCUGUGCCCUCUUCUCUCCAAGGUGUACCUUGAAGUUGGCUUUCAGCUCAGCGUGAUGUGAUCAGAGAUGACAUUGCAUUGUUCUUGGGACAGGAUUUGCCAUUUGGUCCAGUGUCUCCCAGCUGCCCGUGGGACUCCUUGGAAGGAAAGGCCGUGCUUCCUACCUUAUGGUAUAGACCUGUGAAUACCCAUGUACCUUGGUUUAAGAGUAAGCGCCUGCAGCUUCCCCCUCCUCUAUGGCAGAGCUGUAUCCUGCAUGGCAGGAGCAUCGUGGACCAGGCGUCUGGGUUGCCUGGUUCCUUGCCAGGCACGCAUGAAAGAUUAGUUACUUGGUGCGCUGCUUGCAUUUGAUAUGUAGUAGGCUCAACAGUAAGGAAGACUUAGAUGUGCUUCAUCCAUCCUGGGCCAGCCCAAGCUACAGCAGAGUAGCCUGCCAGAGCAAGGAGCGUGCUGGAGGGACUGAUGCUGCUUCUCAGCUCUUCAGGGGAUGGAGAAGCUUAAGAAAAGUGGAAGAAAAAAAUGUCAAGGCUGGACAGGAAAGGCAAAAUGGUAAUUAAUUCUGCAGAAGGAAAAACCCAAAUGUCUGACUGAGUCGUGUUACCCUGGAAGUGGCGGGCUGUGGGAGCUGGAAGCUGCUCGGGCUGUGUGCUUAGCAAGCACACCUGUAUUUCUCGAUGGGUCCUGCACGGGGAACAGCGUGAUUUGACCUAGAGGAGGUGACGAUGCUCAACCGGAGACCCAGAGCAAGGCUGCGGAGACGUGUGGGGGACCGAGGAGGGGCUGCGUGAUUUGGCAAACAAAAGGAGCUUUGAUGGCGGCUCGCUAGGACCUGCCCUGUGCCACUGGCAGGAACCGAUGGUCCCAUCCACCUCGUGGCUUCGGCUUUCUGCCUUUCCCACCUCCGUCCAGACCUGCUGAGCUUAUUUCGGAGGCUUCUGAGCAGACCGGCGCGCUCCCAAACGCCAUCUCUGAAAUGGCUUCCUUUGGCCAAGCGUGGAAUUAAAUUCAAUUAUUAUUUUUACUGUGAGUAUUUAAAGAGCACGGUGAAGGCAUUCAUGGUGUUUUCCCUCUAUUGCAAAUACAUCGGGAGCAACUCUGCAGCCUGCCUGGCUACCCGUCCUCUCCCCACGGGGUACGUGGGAUCUGGGUCUCCUUCCCUGCCGCAGAGCAGGGGCAAGCAAAGCCCGAGCAGACUUUUGCAGACGCAAUAGUCCUCAGACCUGGGAGGUGACGCUUCAUUCCUCAGCGGAGCCUGGCUGCCGGAAAUAAUCUGCCCAAUGGUCCACUUUAUGGCCGGGCAGACAGGUUGAAAUUCACAGCCACCACUUACCAAAGAAUAAUGAAACAUUUCCUGAGACAGCAAUAAAUAUCUCCUGCCAUGACAACACUUACCAGUGCCUCUUCGAUCCGGGAAAAUGUUUUAAAACUCAGCAAAGUGGGAUUUUUUUAAUGCCUCUCUACUUGCUGGUUGCAGUUGCCCUGGCUGCUCCUGGUCGGGGGUGGAGGGAGCGGCGUGAUAUGGUUUGUGGCUCCCUGGGGAGCUCCAGCUCUGGCCCAAAAGUGGGUGCUGGGGGGUAGGCUCCUUUCUGGACUGGACCUAUGGGCCAGGUAGCUAUGCACCAUCCUCCUCCUCCCAUCUGCGGCCUUCAUCAAAUGCCCCUGAUGCUGAUUAAAACAACAUGAGUGAGUAGCUUAUCGGUUACAAGGGAUCAAUAACCCCUGGCUUGUAUUCUUCGGUCUAAGAAAGUCUGAAUAAUGUGGGGCGGGGGGGGGGGGAUCCAAAUAGCCAUCACCGAUCGAUAGCUCUCCCCAUGCGAGCCUGCGGUGGGUCAGUGGGUGAGGGUCAUUUAUCAAUGCCACCCUCUCUCUCCCCGGCAUUGCCCCACGUCAUCCUCAGAGGCUGCAAUUAAUUCGUCCCUGUAACGCAGAGCAAAGCAGCGCCUGCUUGCUCACCUCCGCUCCUGCCCGUGCUGCCUCCAAGCAGCAUCACGUCAAAUUAGCGGCGCUUAAUGAAAAACAAACGAGCCGGACCGACGCAUGCACGUGCUUACGGGGCUGCCCGGGUGUCGAGGAAGCAAAGCUGCCUUUGAAAGAUGUCCUUGACUCAGGAGGAUGACCGGGAGGAAAACUCCUUCUCCCCAGGCUGAUGGAAAGGGAGAGGUUUGCAGCCACUGUACCCUACCAAGGGCCUUCGUUGUGGUCCAGAGCAGCUAUUUUCCACCGCGAGGAGAGGCUGACGGCAUGGUUCAUGCCAGGGUCUGCUGGAAAUAACGCUGCACGCUCAACACAGCUGGCUUGGCUGCUUCGCUCCAGGACAGUUUUCCAGCAGUGGGGGUGCACGGCGUGGCUUCUUGGUGUCAGGCUGAUGCAGAUUGCAAAUAAAAGCCACCAGCUAGCAAAAAUUAUCUCUGAGGGCCUCUGGGCCAUAACAUGAGGCUCAGGGGAGCCCAGCCAAAUGUGGUCGAGUCCUCUCUAGGCAGUGGCAGGGCUGACUAUAGUGGAUGCAAGCCAGUCUGCACUGGUUUCCCCAAAGGGCUGGGCUCCCUCCAGUCCACAAAGACAGAAUUGCCACGACCAGGACAAUGCUCCAUCAGCACCCGCCAUGCCGGGGACUCAUCCUGCCUCUCCCAAUGCUGAGGAUAACCAGCCAGGAGCCAAAACACAGUGGCUAUACCCGAUGCCCCGGCGCACAGGGCAAGGGCGAAACCGGGAGGAGAUGGGGAUAUACCAGGCUGGGUCAGGGUCAGCAGAGGGCUGGGGGGGUUUUGCUACCUCUGAGCUGGGUGAGAGCCUAGGGAGGGCUGUCCUGAGAAGAAAUGCUCUUAGCAGCCCUGGCCACAGAGGGAAAAGGAGGUGUUUGGUAGCAGAGGAAAAGCUGAUGGGGGAAAAAGCAUGGGGAAGCGAUAGAUUUUUAAAAACCCAGCCAGUGAAUCAGUCUCAUUGCUGUGGUCACUUUAAAACGGAUCAGCAGAAAUAAAGUGGGUUUAAAUCUGUAGUGGCUUGGGGAAGCCUGAGCAGUAAAAUGAAGCCAGCAGCACGAUGACUUGCUUGUGAGCCGGUCGGGGUGCAGCCCGCGAGCAUGCCUCAGCUGGGAAAAGCUUCAGAGGUCUGCUCCAUGGCGUCUAGCACGCAGCAGAGCUGCGCUAUGCACCGUGCAUUAACGCCCAGCAGAGCAGGCAACCUCCCAGCACAGCCUGGACCAUAACGUUGCGGUCCCCCACAUCUUCCUGCCUUCCUCAGGGACCGUAACAGCUUACAGGCAGCACAAGAAGAGGGAUGAGAACACGCAGCGGGGAGCGACGGGGAAGAGGGAGACAUCAGAUGGCAGCAACCAACAGGGAAGAUAUUGACUUAAUGGGAUCAGCCCUCAUUUUGUUCUUAUUAUCAGCACCUUGGGAGUGCAGCUUCCCUAAUUAAUUCCUUUGGUCUCUAAAGCAUGCAGCUGAGGCUUGUGUCCCAUCAGUGAUUGCUUGCACUGGUGCUCGUGGGUCGUAGCAGACAGGGAAGCAUGGAGGUCCUUAUGUAGUCAGUGCCAGGUAUCUCUUUACAAACCUCUUCUCAAGCAGUUUGGCCCUCCUUUGGAGGACGGAAAGGACUCAGUGGGUUUUAAUAACUCAGGAGGGAGGACUUCUCCUCCUGAUGUUGUUAUGGGGUUUUUUGUUUGUUUGUUUUGCAAUACAUUUGCAAUGUUUUUCUCUUCAAAUUACGUGGGGUGGGAAUGGCUAUUUCCAGAGGAGCUGUUCUUAAUCCUGCUUGGGAAAGAGUGACCCCUUCCACAAGGCACUAGCAUCUUCCAGAAUCGGCAUGUAUUUUGAAUGUGUUUGAUUGUAAUGUGGAAUUUUCUUGCUAGCUGCAAUAAGUGCCCGGUGUGCUGAAAUGCAACCAAGCCUGGGUCUCCCUGCUGUUGUGUGGCCACCAAUUCACUGGCUCAUGGGGGAAAGUGUUUCCCUUAGUCUCCAUUGACAGUUCACUGGGUUUUUAAUGUGAAGCAAGAAGAAAGGAAGAGCUCAAUUUAUGCUCCUGGUAUCACUCAGCAUUUUAUAUGCCUUUGGUAAAGUUGCGAUUGUUAUCAAGGCUAUCGAAAUCUCCAGAGUCUGAAAAUCAAGGUGAAAGCUUGCUUUCAUGGAUUAUUUCCAGUCACUUUUCUUCUGGCUCUGCUAAAAAUAACCCAGGAAUAGCUUUCUUCAAACUUUCCUAUUCCCUCCUGGCUCGAACAGAGAAGGUCAGGAGGAUGAAAGUGAAAAAAGAGUGGGGGGAAGGAGUCAUGGCAAACUCUUCACGUGUACGGGUUUGGGUGAGAUUGCUUGCUGGUUUGUUUGGGGUUUUUUUUCUUUGAUCUAAACCUGAUUAACUUUCUUUCUGCAUUUCUU